rnacentral:lncRNA from 1 species
GUGCAACACGAUGAUUUUAUAUACAUACAUAUUGUGAAAUCAUUACCCAAAUAGGAUUAGUUAACACAUCCAUCACCUCAGUUACCUUUUUUUGUCAUGAGAACUUUUAAGAUCUACUCUUCUAGCAACUUUCAAGUAUAGGGCUAUACUGGAUAAGAAGCUGGCUGCCUCUGUGAACAUCUUACCCAAAGCAUCCUCACUGUACUUUUGGAAUGGAGAAAUAGAAGAAGCCACUCAGAUCCUGUUGUUGAUAAAGACAAAGACUUCCAAGGUACACAUGCUGUCCAGCUACAUCAGGUUGGUGCAUCCUUUUGAAAUCCCAGAGAUCUUCAGUCUUCUCAUGGACCAAGGAGAUGUGCAGUAUUUGAAGUGGCUGGAGGAGGGCAUGGAGGAGGACUGAGUGGGGGAGGCUUUUUGUGCGUCCUGCUGGCUGCCUCUAGCCUUCAUCAGCUGCACUCUGGGAAAGGGGAGGCCUCUUUCUGCCUCCUGGCAUCUCUGGAUUCCAUGUUUUUGUCAGCACAGAGGAGCUAAGUAACUUGUGAAGGCUGAAGGUCCGAGGCUCCUAAGGCUGGAAGAGGAGGCUGGGCCAGUUGGGCCAGGCAAGAACCCAGUGGAACUUUUCUCUGAGUGCUUCAUGCUUAAAGGUGGCCAGGGGGUGGGAGGGUGAUGAUGGCUGUGUGUAGGGAUCCAGGGGAGGUGGCAGUGAGGGUGAGGUUUGUCACCUUCUCCUGCAGUCACUGUGCCUACCUCGAGUGCCCAAGAUGUAAUUCCUCUCCUUCUCAGGAGGAGGAAUGGACCUCAUGACCUCUUCAGCCAGAACUGUGUGGGAUGAAUGCACCUUUUGGGAAACUGGCAAGCACUUCAUCCAAAAGGAUGAAUUCCUAAUGGUGGAAUUUCAGGGACAAGCAGGAUUAUUUCUCCAGGCGAAAGAUGGUGUUUGUUGUUCCAGAGUCUUGAGGAGGUGGGACUGGGAAUGGGCCUCAAGAGUUUGUAGGACAAGGGAAACAUUAGGGCUUAGACACAGCCUCAUGGGUUGGGAGUAGGUCUUGACUCUUCCUGGCCUGAAUGUGACAGACAGCAGAAGCUUCUGGGGCCUUUCUCAGUGGAGACACAGGUUCUGAGCCCGCCAUACUAUUUCACUUGAGCAUUGAAGCUGAACAUCCUAAAGUAGGAAAGAACCCUGGGGAAUUGCUGGACCAGUGUUUUUCAGACUUACUCCACAGAGCCCCAGGGGUUGACAGAAGGUACUCUGGGGGCUGCCUCGGUGUGCGGGUAAGGAUAUGAGGCCCCCCCACCCAUAAUUCAACCAGUACAACUGUGCUUUUAUUUAUGUAUUGAGCUCCCUUGUAAGCUUUGGGGUUUUUUUUAAAAGUUUUCUCUGUUAAAAGUUUGUGAACCAGUGGUCUAAGCCAAUCUCCAUUUUAUAGAUUCCUAAAGGAAACUGAACUGCACUGAGGUCCAGAAAGGGGGUGACGUGUUGCAUUAUGAAGGGUACAGCCAGGCCUGCUCGCCCUGUGUCUGGUGCUCUCCUAUACCUGCUCCACGGGUCUUAGGGGGAAGAGAGCAGAGAAGGCAGAGCCCUGUGGGGUGAGAAGAGAGACUUGACCAAAGGCCUCUCUGUGCCUCUAUCACAAGGUAACCCUCCUUGGGGGAGACCAUGGGCAGUUUGGGUAGGGGUCCACAGAUAUCUGUGGUAUCCUGGGCCUUUCUUCCCCGAGGGAAGGGUGUGUGGGAGGGGUUUUGCCUGGCUCUAGUUCUGACACCUCCUGUGCUUCUUGGACCUUAGUUCCUCCGAAUAUAAAAUGGGGGGGGGGGGGAUCUCCAGGGGCUCUUCUGUGAAGACCUUGUAGGGACUUUAGGCUGAGGCCCUUCCAAAGGUUCAGAGGAUCCUAUGUUGAGAGCCAGUGGGGAUUUUGGAGGACUGCCUCAGGAGAAGAAUAAAGAGAAUGAUAAUGGUGGUGUCCCUUUUUACAACAGAUGUUUGUGAUACAUAUGAAAAUCUUGUGUAAGUGUGAAAAUCUUGUGAAAACGUUCUGGGGACCCCAAAUGGACUGCCCGUUAUUGCUUUCAGGAUAAAGUCCAAUUUCUUGCUUUGGCUUUCUUUUUUCUUUUUUUGGUUUAUAACAUUGUGUGAUUUCAGGUGUACAUUAUCAUAUAUCAGUUUCUGUAUAGACUACAUCGUGCUCACCACCAAUAGUCUAUAGUUUUUAUCUGUCUUCGGUCUGGCUUUGAAGGCCCUUCAUAACCUUGUCUCCAACUCUGGCAAGUGGAUGGCUCCAAUAUGCUGUGUGAUAUUACCCCUGAUUUCAGGCCAUCCCUUCUGCCUGGAGUGCCCUUAUGCAUGAAUGCUCGUGAAACCUGGCUGCUCCUUUGCAAGGCCUGGCUCCCCUGGUUGGAAGGAAUCUCUCCUGCUGUGGUGUCCCUGUUAUCCUCGUG